GACGAACGCUGGCGGCGUGCUUAACACAUGCAAGUCGAACGAAGAGCGAUGGAAGCUUGCUUCUAUCAAUCUUAGUGGCGAACGGGUGAGUAACGCGUAAUCAACCUGCCCUUCAGAGGGGGACAACAGUUGGAAACGACUGCUAAUACCGCAUACGAUCCAAUCUCGGCAUCGGGACUGGAUGAAAGGUGGCCUCUAUUUAUAAGCUAUCACUGAAGGAGGGGAUUGCGUCUGAUUAGCUAGUUGGAGGGGUAACGGCCCACCAAGGCGAUGAUCAGUAGCCGGUCUGAGAGGAUGAACGGCCACAUUGGGACUGAGACACGGCCCAGACUCCUACGGGAGGCAGCAGUGGGGAAUCUUCCGCAAUGGACGAAAGUCUGACGGAGCAACGCCGCGUGAGUGAGGACGGCCUUCGGGUUGUAAAGCUCUGUUAAUCGGGACGAAUGGUUCUUGUGCGAAUAGUGCGAGGAUUUGACGGUACCGGAAUAGAAAGCCACGGCUAACUACGUG
rnacentral:rRNA from 1 species